GACGAACGCUGGCGGCGCGCUUAACACAUGCAAGUCGAACGGAAAGGCCUGCUUUCCCUUGUGGUUUGCGGGUACUCGAGUGGCGAACGGGUGAGUAACACGUGAGUUAUCUGCCCCCAACUUGGGUAUAAGCCUGGGAAACUGGGUCUAAUUCCCGAUAGGACUGCAGGGUGGUGCCUGUGGUGGAAAACGAUUUUCUAGUGGUUGGGGAUGAGCUCGCGGCCUAUCAGCUUGUUGGUGGGGUACUGGCCUACCAAGGCGGCGACGGGUAGCCGGCGUGAGAGGGGGGACGGCCAAAUUGGGACUGGGACACGGCCCAGACGGCAGCGGGAGGCAGCAGUGGGGAAUAUUGCGCAAUGGGCGGAAGCCUGAUGCAGCGACGCGGCGUGGGGGAUGACGGCCUUCGGGUUGUAAACUCCUUUCGACCGAGAGGAAGCCACCUGGUUGGAAGGGUGGUGACGGUAGUGGUAGAAGAAGCACCGGCUAACUACGUG
rnacentral:rRNA from 1 species